CUGGGUUUAAAGCGUGCGCAGGCGGUUGUGUAAGUCUGACGUGAAAUCCCCGGGCUUAACCUGGGAAUGGCGUUGGAGACUGCACGGCUCGAGUGUGUCAGAGGGGGGUAGAAUUCCACGUGUAGCAGUGAAAUGCGUAGAGAUGUGGAGGAAUACCGAUGGCGAAGGCAGCCCCCUGGGAUAACACUGACGCUCAGGCACGAAAGCGUGGGGAGCAAACAGG
rnacentral:rRNA from 1 species